GGUCUCGAACAAGCAUCACAAUUGAGAAGGUUUUCUAUGUCUGAAUGCUAUUCUCUUAACAGAUUGCCGGACCUAUCAAAGUGCCCAAGCUUGGAAAUUAAGGAGAUAGACUUUUGCAACAUUCAGGAUCAGCCCUGUGAGAGGCACUGUAAAAAUUGCUGCUUGAGGCACUGUGAUUGUCCCUACCGAUGUCAAUGUGGUGGUCAAUGCAUGUAGCGAUCUCAACUGCAAGCUGUGAGGAUACUCUCUAUUUCCAAUUGAGAGAGGGUGGAGUUUAUUUCUUUCUUCUGGAUCACUUCAGGAUUGGAUUGGGAAGAGAGUUCUGUUUUGUAAUUCUUCAGGACAAUGUGUGAGUUGAAGAUCAAGGGCGCUGGUGAGAACAUAAGCUGAGAUGAUAUUUCUCAUAAAUCAGUGAUACACGGCAAUGCUUUAUGUGGAUGCUACGGGUAGAGAGAAACGUAAGGGCCUUUGACAGAACAAAAGUGUCCUUUUUCAAACCUUGAAAAGCAAGCACACUGCAUUAUGCAGCCUCAAUUGUGAUUUCUGCGAGUGUCAUUCCAAAUUCUGUUAGAUUUUCUUCUUCUCGAUGCUUUGUGACAAGGUCUUUUUUGUCGAUGGUAGAAAGGCCUGUCAUUCUGUUCAUCUAGGACUCGUGUGAAGAGUAGAUUUCUUUUUCUCCAUGUUAUAUAAUACUGCUGUACAUUAUCUUCUA